GGUAUCGAAAGAUGACGAUUCUUAUGGAACUCCUUGGAAAAAUUCCGAGUGCUUAUUUAAGAAAAUUUAACGCUUUUUUAAUUUGACUUUUGUAAAGAAUUGGUAUCGAAAGAUUCUUAUGGAACUCCUUGAAGCAAUUCUGAGUGACUUUUGUUAAGAUCUGGUAUCGAAAGAUGAGUGCUUAAUUAAGAAAUGCUUUUAUAAUUUGACUUUUGUUAAGAGUUGUUAUCGUGAGAUGACGAUUUUUGUGGAACUCCUUGGAGCAAUUCUGAGUGCUUAUUUGAGAAAUUCUUGAAUAAUUUUACUUUAGAAUCGGUAUCGUAAGAUGACUAUUCAUAUUAAACUCCUUGGUGCAAUCCUUAAUGUUUAAUUAAGAAAUGCAUCAAUAACACUAGUUUACAAGCAUGUUUGAGCUCGGUAAGCUGAUGAUCAUUUUUGUUGUUGAAUCAUGCCCUGAGUUCGAAAACGCGAAGGAAAAAAAAAUACAGUAGAGCCGAAUUUUUUUCGACUUUCCAUACAAGGUUGAUAAUUUGAAAUCGAUUUUUGUUCUAUUUUUAAGCAAAGUCGCUCACUUCACACAUCUCAUUCUCCGUAAUCAAUGCUCCGAUUUAGCUGAAUUUUUUACUCUAACUCGCCUUUUUUCUUAUUGAAAAAAAAAAUAUAUUUCUUCAUAUAAAUUUGGAAAUUUUGCUAAAAUUUAAGGAGAUCGUCCCCAAAACUCGCCACUAUCUUGAAUUUCAUCAAUCUGACGCAAAACCUGCAUUCAGAUAAUUGAAAUGUAUUAUAUUUAGCUUUUAAUUAACUGAAAAAGAUUUAAAAUUUGUUUAACAAAACGCAAGAUAUUUGAAUUUUAUUAAAUUCCAUAUAUUAAAAAGUUGUAAAACUCCAUAUUGAGCUAAAACUCAAAAACUGCUCUACUUAAAAUUUUUUGAAGCACGGUUUCGAAAUCAGCGCUAAAUUAUGCUUCAGGAAUUUUGGUCGUUGACAGGAGUUUUAUUUUGUAAACUAGUGUAAUCUGACUUUUGUUAAGAAUUGUUGUCGCAAGCAGCCUGAGACGAGACUCGCGAAGAGGAAAAAAAGCAACGUCAAGUGCAGCCCAACUGAGCUGUCAGUUGUAGCCCGUUUGAUUACGUUACCUAAAACGAGGAAAGUAUUGCUGUCCGAGAUAAAUUCUGAAGCCAAAAUUCACUCCGAGCAGCAUUUUCUUCUCCUGUACUGUCAAAAAUAAAUUGAAAACAAAAUAUUUUAACCUGAUUUUGUGCGUGAAUGGGAUUCAGUCACACUGCAUGUGAGGUGAUGCGGUCACGUACGUGUUUGAACCACCAGCCCAAAACAUAAUGUCAACACAGAUAGGAAGAAGAAAAAAAUAACAAAGUGGAGAAAAAGAAGACCGUCUUCGCGAGUCUCGUCUCAGAUUGCAGCAACCCAUUUAUUUUUGGAGAAAAAUUAAGUUUGUUUGAAGAAAAAAGGAGUGCAGACUUUGGCCAAAAUCAUUAUCAUCAAAUUCGAGAGGAUUAUUGGAUGAAAACUGUGCUGAAAAUGUUGAAAUGAAUGAUUCUCUAGUUAAUUUUUAUUGUACCAGCAAGUUUGAGCCCUAAUAACGUAACAUGAACAUUACAUCUUUUUGUGCGAGCGAAUUCCUGUGGUGGAAACAUGGGUUGACCGCGGAGGCACGUGCCUGGGACAUCCAUACGAAGAAGUUUAUAGUGAAGUGGUUAUAUUAUUUUGUCACGGAAAAUAAUUAUUGACGGACUUCAAUGAGUAUACCGUUUCAGAAGCAUUCUGCAUUUAGACAGCUGAAGUAUUAAAACAUAUUUUGGUUCAUAAUUAAGAUUCAAUACAUUUUUCUCAUAUAUUUGAUGGCAAAAUUAAUCUUACAAAAGCAAUGUUCUAAUUGAAAUAAAAUAAACGUAUAUUACUGUAGGCUUAACGAUUUACCUUACUUACUUACUUAUCGUAAGUUUUUAUUGUUGUAUGUUCGACAUAAGUAAAAUAUUGUAAAACACCAACAGAGUGAUGAUGAUUAACCUGAUUAAGUCGAGUCAAGUACAAGACACUGAAGACGACCUUACAGUUGAGGUCGAAAUACGUAUCUGUCAAAGGAUGCAAAUUCUUAGUGGAAUUCAAAGGAACCGUACUUAACCCGAUUUUCUUUUAUUUACCAACAGAGUAUAAAUGCCUGAAUAAUAAAUUUUGUUAAAAUAGAACUAACGUUAGUUUCUUUGUUUUUUUUUUUCCAUUUAAAAAAAUUAAAAAAAAAAUGACAAGUAAUAGACAACGUGAGUAUUCCACAAUAUAAUAAAUCCUCGAUUGACCGAUACGUUUGAAUAAUUCUGUUUUGUAUCUUCAUAGGAAACCUGUAAAUAUCAGCAAACAAAUGAACGAAUCAUUUUUCAGAAGAUUAGGGCCUGUUGUGUUCUUAUGCAAAAUUAAUAAUACCUUUGAAAUCAGGUAAAAAUAUUAUGAUAAAAUUAAAGUUCACAUAACUGAGGGUAUAUUUUUUUACAGAUCCUCGAGGUCACUGGCUGCGGAAUGGAACAAAAACCCCAUCCAUCCUGAAUCGUGUCUUUCGCCUUCAUGCCAAUCAUCAACUUUCUUUUUGGAAACUACAAGAGAAAAACGCAGAUAAUAAUAACACAAAAACAAUAAAAAAAAAUUAAAAAAAUAAUGGAAAAAUAAAAAAUAGAAGAAGAAUUUAUUGCAUUAUAUUAAAAUCAUCAUUAUGAAAAUGCUAAAAACAUUUUUCUACAUUAUAAUAUAAAAACAAUAAAAACAA